ACAUGCCUACAAUGCAGUGUUAAUGCAUCAGAUCCCAUUAGAACUCUGUAGUUAAACGUGCUCGAGCUAGAGUAGUACUGGGAGGGGUGGUUGCCUAGGAAGUCCUAGUAUUUUACAUGCC
rfam:Picea glauca, whole genome shotgun sequence.